rnacentral:rRNA from 1 species
GUCCGCGCUGUAAACGAUGAGUGCUAGACGGUGGAGGUAUUGACCCCUUCGCUGCCGAAGCUAACGCGUUAAGCACUCCGCCUGGGGAGUACGGUCGCAAGACUAAAACUCAAAGGAAUUGACGGGGGCCCGCACAAGCGGUGGAGCAUGUGGUUUAAUUCGACGCAACGCGCAAAACCUUACCUGGGUUAAAUCCGCCGGAACCUGUCUGAAAGGAUGGGGUGCCCUUCGGGGAAUCGGUGAGAAGGUGCUGCAUGGCUGUCGU